rnacentral:piRNA from 1 species
UGGGUACAAUGGAAUAUUUUUUUAACCC